rnacentral:rRNA from 1 species
CCUACGGGUGGCAGCAGUGAGGAAUAUUGGUCAAUGGACGAGAGUCUGAACCAGCCAAGUAGCGUGAAGGAUGACUGCCCUAUGGGUUGUAAACUUCUUUUAUAAAGGAAUAAAACGAGGCACGUGUGCCUUUUUGCAUGUACUUUAUGAAUAAGGAUCGGCUAACGCCGUGCCAGCAGCCGCGGUAAUACGGAGGAUCCGAGCGUUAUCCGGAUUUAUUGGGUUUAAAGGGAGCGUAGAUGGGUUGUUAAGUCAGUUGUGAAAGUUUGCGGCUCAACCGUAAAAUUGCAAUUGAUACUGGCAGUCGUGAGUACAGUUGAGGUAGGCGGAAUUCGUGGUGUAGCGGUGAAAUGCUUAGAUAUCACGAAGAACCCCGAUUGCGAAGGCAGCUUACUAAACUGUGACUGACAUUGAUGCUCGAAAGUGUGGGUAUCAAACAGGAUUAGAUACCCGGGUAGUC